CCUGGAGCUGUAGGUGGUUCCAAGGGUUGGGCUGUUCGCCCAUUAAUGCGGUACGUGAGCUGGGUUCAGAACGUCGUGAGACAGUUCGGUCCAUAUCCGGUGUGGGCGUUAGAGCAUUGAGAGGACCUUUCCCUAGUACGGGAGGACCGUGAAGGACAGACCUUUAGUGUACGAGUUAUCGUGCCCACGGUAAACAUUGGAUAGCCAAGUGUGGAGAGAAUAACUGCCGAAAGUUUAUAAGUAGUAAGCCCACCCUGCGGUGAGUGCUUUCUCCUUCGACUUCCCUAUAUCUUUUGGUAUCACAACCGAGACAUGAACGGGUUCUCCACCCAUACUUGCAUGGAGUGACAGGAUAUGGAAGUAGGAUAAGGUAGCAGCGAGACGAACCAUUUAAAUACGUGUCAAGUGGAAGUGCAGUGAUGUAUGCAACUAAGGCAUCCUAACGAACGAAGGAAUUUGAAUCU
rnacentral:ncRNA from 1 species